GACGAACGCUGGCGGCGUGCUUAACACAUGCAAGUCGAACGGGUCUGCCCUGUUUUUUGCGGGGUGGGUCAGUGGCGAACGGGUGAGUAACACGUGAGUAACCUGCCCCUCACUUCUGGAUAACCGCUUGAAAGGGUGGCUAAUACGGGGUGUUCUGGCUGUGCCGCAUGGUGUGGCUGGGAAAGAUUCACUUUUGUGGUGUUUUGGUGGGGGAUGGGCUCGCGGCCUAUCAGCUUGUUGGUGGGGUGAUGGCCUGCCAAGGCUUUGACGGGUAGCCGGCCUGAGAGGGUGGGCGGUCACACUGGGACUGAGAUACGGCCCAGACUCCUGCGGGAGGCAGCAGUGGGGGGUAUUGCACAAUGGGCGGAAGCCUGAUGCAGCGACGUCGCGUGAGGGAUGGAGGCCUUCGGGUUGUGAACCUCUUUCGCCGGUGAAGAAGGUCCUGCUCUUUGGGGUGGGGCUGACGGUAGCCGGGUUAUGAAGCGCCGGCUAACUACGUG
rnacentral:rRNA from 1 species